GAUGAACGCUGGCGGCGUGCCUAAUACAUGCAAGUCGAGCGAACGGACGAGAAGCUUGCUUUUCUGAUGUUAGCGGCGGACGGGUGAGUAACACGUGGAUAACCUACCUAUAAGACUGGGAUAACUUCGGGAAACCGGAGCUAAUACCGGAUAAUAUUUUGAACCGCAUGGUUCAAAAGUGAAAGACGGUCUUGCUGUCACUUAUAGAUGGAUCCGCGCUGCAUUAGCUAGUUGGUAAGGUAACGGCUUACCAAGGCAACGAUGCAUAGCCGACCUGAGAGGGUGAUCGGCCACACUGGAACUGAGACACGGUCCAGACUCCUACGGGAGGCAGCAGUAGGGAAUCGUCCGCAAUGGGCGAAAGCCUGACGGAGCAAGGCCGCGUGAGUGAUGAAGGUCUUCGGAUCGUAAAACUCUGUUAUUAGGGAAGAACAUAUGUGUAAGUAACUGUGCACAUAUUGACGGUACCUAAUCAGAAAGCCACGGCUAACUACGUG
rnacentral:rRNA from 1 species